rnacentral:rRNA from 1 species
AGCAGCCGCGGUAAUUCCAGCUCCAAUAGCGUAUAUUAAAGUUGUUGCAGUUAAAAAGCUCGUAGUUGAAUUUCGGGAUCAUCAGGUUGGUCGUGCCUCUGGUAUGUACUGAUUUCGAUGGUUCCUCCUUCUUGAAGAACCGUAAUGCCAUUAAUUUGGUGUUGCGGGGAAACAGGACUGUUACUUUGAAAAAAUUAGAGUGUUUAAAGCAGGCAAUCGCUUGAAUACAUUAGCAUGGAAUAAUGAAAUAGGACGUUCGAUCCUAUUUUGUUGGUUUCUAGGAUUGACGUAAUGAUUAAUAGGGAUAGUUGGGGGCAUUAGUAUUCAAUUGUCAGAGGUGAAAUUCUUGGAUUUAUUGAAGACUAACUACUGCGAAAGCAUUUGCCAAGGAUGUUUUCAUUAAUCAAGAACGAAAGUUAGGGGAUCGAAGACGAUCAGAUACCGUCGUAGUCUUAACCAUAAACUAUGCCGACUAGGGAUCGGAUGAUGUUAAUUUUUUAAUGACUCAUUCGGCGCCUUA